rnacentral:misc_RNA from 1 species
AACUAGUGGUUCUGCUUUGCAGGCAAAGCACAGCCACGCUGUCUAUAAAAAUGCAAACUUGAGAGAAGUUUGUGAGUGGGAAUUGAAACUACUGCAUUUUAGGAAAGUAAACAUGGGACUUAGAACCCUUCCCUUGUCACCUUCUCAAAACUGUUGCUUUACACAGGCAGGAGUUGCACAGAAUUACCCGUCUUACCACUACAGGCUUCAUAAGAG